AUUGAACGCUGGCGGCAUGCUUUACACAUGCAAGUCGAACGGUAACAGGCCGCAAGGUUCUGACGAGUGGCGAACGGGUGAGUAAUGCAACGGGACGUCCCCAGUCGUGGGGGCUAACGCAGCGACAGCUGCGCCAAUACCGCCUACGAGCUAUCGAUCAAAGCGGGGGACCGUCAGGCCUCGCGCGAUUCGAGCGGCCCAUGUCAGAUUCGGGAGUUGGUGGGGUAAAGGCCUACCAAGCCAACGAUCUGUAGCUGGUCUGAGAGGACGACCAGCCACACUGGGACUGAGACACGCCCCAGACGCCUACGGGAGGCAGCAGUGGGGAAUUUUGGACAAUGGGCGCAAGCCUGAUCCAGCAAUGCCGCGUGCAGGAAGAAGGCCUUCGGGUUGUAAACUGCUUUUGUACGGAACGAAAAGGCUCUGGUUAAUACCUGGGGCUCAUGACGGUACCGUAAGAAUAAGCACCGGCUAACUACGUGCCAGCCGCCGCGGUAACAC
rnacentral:rRNA from 1 species